AAUCAAGUGCCUUAAGGGUGUUCGGUGGAUGCCUUGGCGCUGAGAGGCGAUGAAGGACGUGCUACGCUGCGAUAAGCCGUGGGGAGCUGCGAAGAAGCUUUGAUCCACGGAUUUCCGAAUGGGGAAACCCACCUUCGAUAGCUGGAACUCCAAGAUCUCUAUCUUGGGGUUCGUACAGCAAUGUGUGAGACCAAGCCGUGAGGUUUUGGAUUUCCAGUUAUCAAGUGAAGGUAUGAAAUCUCUGAAUUCAUAGGAGGUUUUAAGCGAACCCAGGGAACUGAAACAUCUAAGUACCUGGAGGAAAGGACAUCAAUCGAGACUCCGUUAGUAGUGGCGAGCGAACGCGGACCAGGCC
rnacentral:rRNA from 1 species